AUGAGGGUGAUGAGGUGCUUUUUGUAGAACGAGCCAACGAGUUACGGUAUGUAGCAAGGUUAAGUACUUAAGGUACGGAGCCGAAGGGAAACCGAGUCUGAAUAGGGCGACUAGUUGCAUGCCGUAGACCCGAAACCGGGUGACCUAUCCAUGGCCAGGUUGAAGCGAGGGUAAAACCUCGUGGAGGACCGAACCACGUUGCUGUUGAAAAAGCAUGGGAUGAGCUGUGGAUAGCGGAGAAAUUCCAAUCGAACCCGGAGAUAGCUGGUUCUCUCCGAAAUAGCUUUAGGGCUAGCGUCGAGUAUGAGUAGUGGAGGUAGAGCACUGAAUGGGCUAGGGGGCAUAGCGCUUACCGAACCUUAUCAAACUCCGAAUGCCACAUACUUUGAGCUCGGCAGUCAGACUACGAAUGAUAAGAUCCGUGGUCAAAAGGGAAACAGCCCAGAUCGUCAGCUAAGGUCCCAAAGUGUAAGUUAAGUGGGAAAGGAUGUGAGAUUUCUAAGACAACUAGGAUGUUGGCUUAGAAGCAGCCAUUCAUUAAAAGAGUGCGUAAUAGCUCACUAGUCGAGAGAUCUUGCGCCGAAAAUGUAACGGGGCUAAACUUACCACCGAAGCUACGGGCUUGAACAUAGUUCAAGCGGUAGGAGAGCGUCGUAACCGGGCUGAAGUCGUACCGUAAGGAGCGGUGGACUGGUUACGAGUGAGAAUGUUGGCAUCAGUAGCGAGAUGUGGGUGAGAAUCCCACAGGCCGAAAACCUAAGGUUUCCUCAGGAAGGUUCGUCCGCUGAGGGUUAGUCGGGACCUAAGCCGAGGCCGAAAGGCGUAGGUGAUGGACAACUGGUUGAUAUUCCAGUACCACUACCAUCGUUAUUAUCGAUGGCGUGACGCAGGAGGAUAGUGUGUGCUAGCUAUUGGAUGCUAGUCUAAGCGUUUAGGCAGUGAGAGUAGGCAAAUCCGCUCUCAUAAUGCUGAGGCGUGAUGGGGAAGGUUCUACGGAACCGAAGUACAUGAUUCCACGCUGCCAAGAAAAGCGUCUAGAGAGAGAAGUAGUGCCCGUACCGCAAACCGACACAGGUAGGUGAGGAGAGAAUCCUAAGGCCGGCGGAAGAAUUACAGUUAAGGAACUCGGCAAAUUGACCCCGUAAGUUCGCGAGAAGGGGUGCCUACGAGAGUAGGCCGCAGAGAAUAGGCCCAAGCAACUGUUUAGCAAAAACACAGGUCUCUGCUAAAGCGUAAGCUGAUGUAUAGGGGCUGACGCCUGCCCGGUGCUGGAAGGUUAAGGGGAACACUUAGCGCAAGCGAAGGUGUGAACUUAAGCCCCAGUAAACGGCGG
rnacentral:rRNA from 1 species